rnacentral:rRNA from 1 species
GACGAACGCUGGCGGCGCGCCUAACACAUGCAAGUCGAACGAGCGAGAGAGAGCUUGCUUUCUCGAGCGAGUGGCGAACGGGUGAGUAACGCGUGAGGAACCUGCCUCAAAGAGGGGGACAACAGUUGGAAACGACUGCUAAUACCGCAUAAGCCCACGGCUCGGCAUCGAGCAGGGGGAAAAGGAGCAAUCCGCUUUGAGAUGGCCUCGCGUCCGAUUAGCUAGUUGGUGGGGUAACGGCCCACCAAGGCGACGAUCGGUAGCCGGACUGAGAGGUUGAACGGCCACAUUGGGACUGAGACACGGCCCAGACUCCUACGGGAGGCAGCAGUGGGGAAUAUUGCACAAUGGGGGAAACCCUGAUGCAGCGACACCGCGUGGAGGAAGAAGGUCUUCGGAUUGUAAACUCCUGUUGUUGGGGAAGAUAAUGACGGUACCCAACAAGGAAGUGACGGCUAACUACGUG